GCACCAUCACAGCCCAGAACUUCUCCUGCUGGAAGAAAUGCAACUCCCUCAACUCUUUCCACUGCUCCUGGUCACCCCUCGGCCCUGCUGGCAACACCUCCUACUCCCUGAAUCUCUGGUGAGUUGGGCAUUGUGGAGGGGGAUGGGGAGCCCAUGGGAUGUGUCCUGCCUCACCCGGAUUUGACCUUGUGCCCACUCCCUCCCCAGCUGGCAGCACAAAGGGUGUAGCCAGUUUGAUGCACACAAGAUGACAAACUACAAACUGCCACAUCACAAGCUGUACAUCUUAAACAACGCUGUGGCCUGGGUAGAGGCAAGCUGGGAAGGCCACGUCCACAGGACCCCCAAUAUCACAUUUGUCUUCAACGAGGCCGAAAAGCCAGAUCCACCUCCCUCACGGGUGCCCUUCUCCAAGACUGACGGCCAGCUGAGGCUGCGGGUGCCACGGCCACAGUGCCCUGGCAUGGACCAGCCAGCAGAGCGGGAGGCUCGAUCCUGGAGGGCAGGAGACAGCGGCUGGACACAAUUUUCUUUACAGGUGGAAUGUAUGACCGUGAUGGUGAAAGAUGAAGAUGACUCAGUGAACUGUACCCUGAAGGGGAAUGGCACCUUUGUGGUCCAGCUACGGCAAAAGACCUGGAGCAGCUACUGGAGUGACUGGAGCAGCAACAUCUCUGUUCCCGAGGGUAAGGAAGAGGAGGGGAGGCUGGUGGGAUCCUACCAGCUCCCAAAAACAUUGAUCACUCAGUCAGGCUUGUCCCUCCUGCAGAAAUCCUGGAGAGCCCAGUGCUGA
rnacentral:lncRNA from 1 species